CUAAUGGUAGAAGAAGGAGGCGAGCAAUUUUGGACUCACUGCCAUGCAACUGGGCGUCGAUAACCCAGCAAACAUAAAAAUAUGUCGUCAGUGCCAGUUGGUCUUCGGAGCAGUCAGGAGGCAUGGCUUUUGCUGAACGCGACGUGUUGUCUUCCAAGACAAGGUCCUCGGAGUGGACGAGGUUCACCUCAUAUAAUGGUAAGUGGCAUGCUCUUAACAACGUCAGGGUGUGUGUAAAGUAUAUUCCUAAAAGAUGACGGUAAUGAUUUGGUAAACGCUUCACCCUGUUGCCAUUGUAACAGAUAGACUGUCGCCCCGGACGUCUCCCUUUUUAAUCUCAGUUUACAGUCUUUAAUGUUGACUAUCUAAACAAAGUCUGUGGUCGUAAGAUUGAAGUUUACAUGGACGUUGUGCGAGAUGAGCGUGGGGCUGAUUGACUGGGGAAACGGCUGUGUACGGCGGCUAGAGGAGACACUGCGUCUUAAGUUAAAUUUAUUACACUUUGGAAAUUAGUACACUGCACUUCGACGAGACCAGCAUGGCGUCGCACUAAAAUAACAUCGAUGCUAUGGAGCUAAUAGUGCCAUACCGGUGGAGUGAUCUACACUAGAAUCACACUGAUACCGUGUAUUCAGACAGUUAAUACACCGAGUAAACCAACGAAAACACUUCUGAGACUCAUUCUUGUGCGUGAUUGUAUUCUCAAACACUUCAGUGCGGUGAGCAUUCCGAGAAACCAUCUCCAGUCAAUCGAGCCCCUCGAUGAUCUCUCACAACGCACUUGCUCAAUUAUGUUGAAUUAAUUGUUCCGGUGAUGUGGAAAUAACACUAAGAAGCUAGUUUAUAUGGACUUAAUUGCUUUGUGAUUGAAGAAUAACGUACUGAUUUUCCACAGGGGGAAACGUGACAAAGGGAAGGCCUUCAGGUAUUGUUUUGGCAAGCUAGGAGAACACAUCUGACAGACAAAAAGGUUUCAUCAAAGACACACAGACAGCUCCUGAAGUAAAGGACCUACACAGGACCUUCAUAUCAAGGACAUUGACUGUGUGGAUCUCGAGGUGCAGUUACCCAAAAGUUGCUACCCACGGAAUACCAGGUUUUGAGGGAUCCUGCCAGAGCAGAGAAUCAACAGAUACAUUGAAGAGGAGACUCCGACAUGACCGCCGGCAUCUUGUGUUAUUCACCCCCACCACUUGUAAUACUGAAUGCCUGAAUUGUUGUUUGCUGCUCAGACUUUGUCAACAGAUAUGGUCUUCGACAUGUUACCCUUAGGUGUGGAAACAGAUUGUGACAGUCCAGCAAAAUGAGCCAGACAGAUAGUAACACUGAAAAAGGACAACGUUGUUCCCAUGGCCUCCCACUGCAGAAGACUACAGACGUUCAGUGAAGCACAAACAGCUGUUCCUCUUGUACUUAAUAAUUUAGUCAGCUGGAUUCUAGGUGCCACUAAGGAGCCAACAGUGGAUAAUUUUGUCAACAUUUCAAUGGCAUACAUUAAAAGGGCAGCCUGUAAUUGUUUGCCUUGCCUCCAUCUUCCUUGCCACCAAGGGGUUGUAGACUGAUGCCCUAGUCCUCCUGUUUAGGUACAACCAUGCAGUUAGGCCAGUCUAUUGAAGCAUAUACUUAUGACUGUUUGUAUGUGUUGUGUAUCUAGUAAUGGAUAAAUUACCACAUGAAUAACUGCAUAUUCAUUAUAUUGAUAAUUAUAAUGGCUUCCAUUAUUGAUUAAAAAGGGAUCUACCACCACUUGCAUUAUUGUUUUGUUAUAAAUGAAGCACUGUUAGGAAUCCAGGAAGACGGAUGCAGAGGCACUCAAGGUUGCAUUUUUUUUUUUUUUUAACUUUAUUUGGCUACAAUGCCUCAGCAUCUGUCUUCCUGGACCAAGUUUGACAGCCCCUACACUGAUGAGCACCAAGGAAAAAAGGUGAAGACCCAGAAGCACUCCAAUUACCUGCUUGUGUUUGAUAAUGUUAGGAUCCAUUUAUCCCACUUUAAAUGCAUGAAUAUCACUGAAAAUUGGAAUUGUUUCCAUUUAUUUAUUUUUUUUAAAAUGUAUAUAUCAUGAAAGGUAACUUGCAUUGCCUUUUGAAGCACAGUUUAACAGUUGGACCACUUUGUAUAGCCUAUAUGAACGAUCAUUAUUGAUCUUGGAUAUUAUUGAUAUUGUAGGCCUAUUUCUAUUUGGGCUCAUGUCUUUGCCUUUGGCACCCUCAUGCAUUAUUGUUCUUCAAGAUAGAAAUUAAUCACGGUCAUUCUUAACUGUUAAGAAUCAAUCUGUCUUCCUUAGAGAUAUAUAUAUUAUAAAAACCUUAGUUUAGUACAAUUUGUGGAACGCAAGAGGACUGAUAGCUGUCCAAAUCGGCAACGUGAUUGGUUUAGCGCGGUCACGUGGUGUAUCGUGUCUCCUCAUUCAGCUAAGGAAAUAUUCCUUCUGUAAACGUCUAUACCCUUGGAUGUUUUCACGAUCCGAACCUCUCUGAAGUGAAACAUAGUGUAGCGUUUGGUAGCCAGGGAACACACAGGAUGUAGACAGAAGUGUCCGUUUAAUGGAGACAGUUGGCCACAGCCACGCCACAUAAAAAUCAUGAACAAG